rnacentral:rRNA from 1 species
GACCGCCUGGGGAGUACGGCCGCAAGGUUAAAACUCAAAUGAAUUGACGGGGGCCCGCACAAGCGGUGGAGCAUGUGGUUUAAUUCGAUGCAACGCGAAGAACCUUACCUACUCUUGACAUCCACGGAACUUGGCAGAGAUGCCUUGGUGCCUUCGGGAACCGUGAGACAGGUGCUGCAUGGCUGUCGUCAGCUCGUGUUGUGAAAUGUUGGGUUAAGUCCCGCAACGAGCGCAACCCUUAUCCUUUGUUGCCAGCGGUUCGGCCGGGAACUCAAAGGAGACUGCCAGUGAUAAACUGGAGGAAGGUGGGGAUGACGUCAAGUCAUCAUGGCCCUUACGAGUAGGGCUACACACGUGCUACAAUGGCAUAUACAAAGAGAAGCGACCUCGCGAGAGCAAGCGGACCUCAUAAAGUAUGUCGUAGUCCGGAUUGGAGUCUGCAACUCGACUCCAUGAAGUCGGAAUCGCUAGUAAUCGUGGAUCAGAAUGCCACGGUGAAUACGUUCCCGGGCCUUGUACACACCGCCCGUCACACCAUGGGAGUGGGUUGCAAAAGAAGUAGGUAGCUUAACCUUCGGGAGGGCGCUUACCACUUUGUGAUUCAUGACUGGGGUGAAGUCGUAACAAGGUAACCGUAGGGGAACCUGCGGUUG